rnacentral:rRNA from 1 species
GAUGAACGCUAGCGGGAGGCUUAACACAUGCAAGUCGAGGGGUAAAUGGUAGCAAUACUAUGAGACCGGCGGACGGGUGCGUAACGCGUAUGCAAUCUACCUUUUACAGAGGGAUAGCCCAGAGAAAUUUGGAUUAAUACCUCAUAGCAUUGCGAAAUGGCAUCAUUUUGCAAUUAAAGUCACAACGGUAAAAGAUGAGCAUGCGUCCCAUUAGCUAGUUGGUAAGGUAACGGCUUACCAUGGCUACGAUGGGUAGGGGUCCUGAGAGGGAGAUCCCCCACACUGGUACUGAGACACGGACCAGACUCCUACGGGAGGCAGCAGUGAGGAAUAUUGGACAAUGGGCGCAAGCCUGAUCCAGCCAUGCCGCGUGCAGGAAGAAGCAUCUAUGGUGUGUAAACUGCUUUUAUACAGGAAGAAACAACUCUACGUGUAGAGUCUUGACGGUACUGUAAGAAUAAGGACCGGCUAACUCCGUGCCAGC